GAUGAACGCUGGCGGCGUGCCUAAUACAUGCAAGUCGAACGGAGAAUGUAGCAAUACGUUCUUAGUGGCGAACGGGUGAGUAACGCGUUGGUGACCUGCCCCGAAGUGUGGGAUAACAGUCCGAAAGGAUUGCUAAUACCGCAUGUGAUCCCCGGAAUUAGAAACCGGUGAUUAAAGGAGUAAUUCGCUUUGGGAGGGACCUGCGUCCCAUCAGCUAGUUGGUAAGGUAACGGCCUACCAAGGCUAUGACGGGUAGGGGACCUGAGAGGGUGGACCCCCACAAUGGCACUGAAACACGGGCCAUACACCUACGGGUGGCAGCAGUAGGGAAUAUUGGUUAAUCUACGAAAGUGGGAACCAGCAACGCCGCGUGUGCGAUGAAGGCCUUCGGGUUGUAAAGUGCUUUUAAGGGAGAUGAGAAAGGACAGUAUCCCUUGAAUAAGCCUCCGGCGAACUACGUG
rnacentral:rRNA from 1 species